GGAAGGAUCAUUACCAAGAACCACACAGAAAAGGGAGGCAAAGGGGCCUACAGGGCUAGUAGCUUAUACGUUGUUGAACGUCCUGCCUGGACCCGGAGCCGCCCCCAUCUAAACCCUCUGCGUACCUGUCCCUUCUUGCUUCCCCCGGCAUCUCGUCGGGGGGAGGUAACAACCAAAACUCUCUGUGAAUCAAACAGCCGUCAGAAUUAUAAAACAAACAAAAGUUAAAACUUUCAACAACGGAUCUCUUGGUUCCCACAUCGAUGAAGAACGCAGCGAAAUGCGAUAAGUAAUGUGAAUUGCAGAAUUCAGUGAAUCAUCGAAUCUUUGAACGCACAUUGCGCCCCCUGGUAUUCCGGGGGGCAUGCCUGUUCGAGCGUCAUAAAAACCUCCUCCCCCUUCGGGUUUUGUUACUAUCGUUGGGGGGUUUUGGCCUAAUGGGAUAGCGAUUGGCAAUUCGUUUCCCAAUGUCCUAAAUAGACGUAGACCCGCCUCCAGAUGCGACAGCACCGAGGCCAUCAACCGUGGAGUUAUGGGAUAUAAUAGGCUUGCAGUAAAAUGCUCACCUCUCUCCACACGCCGAUGGCACGACAGUUGCAGUUGCGGGCGUAAAUUGGAGCCCUUUUCAGGACCCUUGUGGCCUAGCAUCCACCAUACAUAAUUUGACCUCGGAUCAGGUAGGGAUACCCGCUGAACUUAAGCAUAUC
rnacentral:rRNA from 1 species